rnacentral:rRNA from 1 species
AACGAACGCUGGCGGCAGGCUUAACACAUGCAAGUCGAGCGAACCCUUCGGGGUUAGCGGCGGACGGGUGAGUAACGCGUGGGAACGUGCCCUUUUCUACGGAAUAGCCUCGGGAAACUGAGAGUAAUACUGUAUACGCCCUUUUGGGGAAAGAUUUAUCGGAGAAGGAUCGGCCCGCGUUGGAUUAGGUAGUUGGUGGGGUAAUGGCCUACCAAUCCGACGAUCCAUAGCUGGUUUGAGAGGACGAUCAGCCAUAUUGGAACUGAGACACGGCCCAAACCACUACGGGAGGCUGCAGUGGGGAAUAUUGGACAAUGGGGGCAAGCCUGAUCCGGCCAUGCGGCGUGAGUGAUGACGGCCUUCGGGUUGUAAAGCACUUUUGUCCGGGGAGAUAAUGACUGUACCGGAAGAAUAAGCCCCGGCAAACUUCGUGCCAGCAGCCGCCGUAACAC